UACAGAGGGUGCAAACGUUGUUCGGAAUUACUGGGCGUAAAGCGUGUGUAGGCGGCCUCGUAGGUCGGAUGUGAAAGCUCUCGGCUCAACCGGGAAAGUGCAUUCGAAACCAACAAGGCUUGAGUGUCGGAGAGGAAGGCGGAAUUGUCGGUGUAGAGGUGGAAAUUCGAUAGAUAUCGACAAGGAACGACCUGCGGCGAA
rnacentral:rRNA from 1 species